GGGCCCGCACAAGCGGUGGAGUAUGUGGUUUAAUUCGAUGCAACGCGAAGAACCUUACCUACACUUGACAUGCUGAGAAGUUACUAGAGAUAGUUUCGUGCCUUCGGGAACUCAGACACAGGUGCUGCAUGGCUGUCGUCAGCUCGUGUCGUGAGAUGUUGGGUUAAGUCCCGCAACGAGCGCAACCCUUGUCCUUAGUUGCCAGCGAGUAAUGUCGGGAACUCUAGCAAGACUGCCGGUGCAAACCGUGAGGAAGGUGGGGAUGACGUCAAAUCAUCACGGCCCUUACGUCCUGGGCCACACACGUGCUACAAUGCUACGGACAAAGGGCAGCAAGUUCGCGAGGACAAGCAAAUCCCAUAAACCGUGGCUCAGUUCAGAUCGUAGGCUGCAACUCGCCUACGUGAAGGCGGAAUCGCUAGUAAUCG
rnacentral:rRNA from 1 species